rnacentral:rRNA from 1 species
GGGUUGUGAGGUUAAGCGACUAAGCGUACACGGUGGAUGCCCUGGCAGUCAGAGGCGAUGAAGGACGUGCUAAUCUGCGAAAAGCGUCGGUAAGGUGAUAUGAACCGUUAUAACCGGCGAUGUCCGAAUGGGGAAACCCAGUGCAAUUCGUUGCACUAUCGUUAACUGAAUACAUAGGUUAACGAGGCGAACCGGGGGAACUGAAACAUCUAAGUACCCCGAGGAAAAGAAAUCAACCGAGAUUCCCCCAGUAGCGGCGAGCGAACGGGGAGCAGCCCAGAGUCUGAAUCAGCUUGUGUGUUAGUGGAACGGUCUGGAAAGUCCGACGGUACAGGGUGAUAGUCCCGUACACCAAAAUGCACAGGUUGUGAACUCGAAGAGUAGGGCGGGACACGUGGUAUCCUGUCUGAAUAUGGGGGGACCAUCCUCCAAGGCUAAAUACUCCUGACUGACCGAUAGUGAACCAGUACCGUGAGGGAAAGGCGAAAAGAACCCCGGCGAGGGGAGUGAAAAAGAACCUGAAACCGUGUACGUACAAGCAGUGGGAGCACCUUUCGGGUGUGACUGCGUACCUUUUGUAUAAUGGGUCAGCGACUUAUAUUCUGUAGCAAGGUUAACCGUAUAGGGGAGCCGCAGGGAAACCGAGUCUUAACUGGGCGUUAAGUUGCAGGGUAUAGACCCGAAACCCGGUGAUCUAGCCAUGGGCAGGUUGAAGGUUGGGUAACACUAACUGGAGGACCGAACCGACUAAUGUUGAAAAAUUAGCGGAUGACUUGUGGCUGGGGGUGAAAGGCCAAUCAAACCGGGAGAUAGCUGGUUCUCCCCGAAAGCUAUUUAGGUAGCGCCUCGUGAACUCAUCUUCGGGGGUAGAGCACUGUUUCGGCUAGGGGGUCAUCCCGACUUACCAACCCGAUGCAAACUACGAAUACCGAAGAAUGUUAUCACGGGAGACACACGGCGGGUGCUAACGUCCGUCGUGAAGAGGGAAACAACCCAGACCGCCAGCUAAGGUCCCAAAGUCAUGGUUAAGUGGGAAACGAUGUGGGAAGGCACAGACAGCCAGGAUGUUGGCUUAGAAGCAGCCAUCAUUUAAAGAAAGCGUAAUAGCUCACUGGUCGAGUCGGCCUGCGCGGAAGAUGUAACGGGGCUAAACCAUGCACCGAAGCUGCGGCAGCGACACUAUGUGUUGUUGGGUAGGGGAGCGUUCUGUAAGCCUGCGAAGGUGGCCUGUGAGGGCUGCUGGAGGUAUCAGAAGUGCGAAUGCUGACAUAAGUAACGAUAAAGCGGGUGAAAAGCCCGCUCGCCGGAAGACCAAGGGUUCCUGUCCAACGUUAAUCGGGGCAGGGUGAGUCGACCCCUAAGGCGAGGCCGAAAGGCGUAGUCGAUGGGAAACAGGUUAAUAUUCCUGUACUUGGUGUUACUGCGAAGGGGGGACGGAGAAGGCUAUGUUAGCCGGGCGACGGUUGUCCCGGUUUAAGCAUGUAGGCGGAGGUUCCAGGUAAAUCCGGUACCUUUUAACGCUGAGGUGUGAUGACGAGGCACUACGGUGCUGAAGUAACAAAUGCCCUGCUUCCAGGAAAAGCCUCUAAGCAUCAGGUAACAUCAAAUCGUACCCCAAACCGACACAGGUGGUCAGGUAGAGAAUACCAAGGCGCUUGAGAGAACUCGGGUGAAGGAACUAGGCAAAAUGGUGCCGUAACUUCGGGAGAAGGCACGCUGGUGUGUAGGUGAAGUCCCUGCGGAUGGAGCUGAGACCAGUCGAAGAUACCAGCUGGCUGCAACUGUUUAUUAAAAACACAGCACUGUGCAAACACGAAAGUGGACGUAUACGGUGUGACGCCUGCCCGGUGCCGGAAGGUUAAUUGAUGGGGUUAUCCGUAAGGAGAAGCUCUUGAUCGAAGCCCCGGUAAACGGCGGCCGUAACUAUAACGGUCCUAAGGUAGCGAAAUUCCUUGUCGGGUAAGUUCCGACCUGCACGAAUGGCGUAAUGAUGGCCAGGCUGUCUCCACCCGAGACUCAGUGAAAUUGAACUCGCUGUGAAGAUGCAGUGUACCCGCGGCAAGACGGAAAGACCCCGUGAACCUUUACUAUAGCUUGACACUGAACAUUGAGCCUUGAUGUGUAG